CCCUUAGAUGUUCUGGGCCGCACGCGCGCUACACUGAUGAAUUCAACGAGUAUACUUUCCGUUCGCGGAAACUCCUUGGUUGAGAUGCCUAGGUAAUCUUUUAAAUGUUCAUCGUGAUGGGGCUAGAUUAUUGCAAUUAUUAAUCUUAAACGAGGAAUUCCUAGUAAACGCAAGUCAUCAGCUUGCAUUGAUUACGUCCCUGCCCUUUGUACACACCGCCCGUCGCACCUACCGAUUGAAUGGUCCGGUGAAAACCUCGGAUUCCUGUUUAUUUCUAGCAAUAGAGAUUUACGGGGAGAAGUCGUUUAAACCUUACCAUUUAGAGGAAGGUGAAGUCGUANCA
rnacentral:rRNA from 1 species